UACAGAGGUGGCAAGCGUUGUUCGGAAUUACUGGGCGUAAAGGGCGCGUAGGCGGCCUACUAAGUCAGACGUGAAAUCCCCGGGCUUAACCUGGGAACUGCGCUUGUUACUGGCAGACUUGAGUGUGGCAGAGGGGGGUGGAAUUCCAGGUGUAGCAGUGAAAUGCGUAGAUAUCUGGAGGAACACCGAUGGCGAAGGCAGCCCCCUGGGUUAACACUGACGCUCAGGCACGAAAGCGUGGGGAGCAAACAGG
rnacentral:rRNA from 1 species